rnacentral:rRNA from 1 species
AGGGGGGCUGCUCCUAGUACGAGAGGACCGGAGUGGACGCAUCUCUGGUGUACCGGUUGUGACGCCAGUCGCAUCGCCGGGUAGCUAUAUGCGGAAGAGAUAAACGCUGAAAGCAUCUAAGCGUGAAACUCGCCUCAAGAUGAGACUUUCCUGGAGACUUGAUCUCCCUGAAGGGCCGUGGAAGACCACCACGUUGAUAGGUCGGGUGUGGAAGCGCAGUAAUGCGUUAAGCUAACCGAUACUAAUUACCCGUGAGGCUUGAUCCU